CAAAAGAUAGUUUAAUAAAAAUACUGGCUUUGGGAGUCAGCGAUAAGGGGUAGUCCUUUCUUUUGA
rnacentral:tRNA from 1 species